rnacentral:rRNA from 1 species
GUAGGGAAUAUUGGGCAAUGGUCGGAAGACUGACCCAGCCAUGUCGCGUGCAGGAAGACGGCCCUCUGGGUUGUAAACUGCUUUUAUCUGGGAAGAAAAAGGCCAUGCGUGGCAAAUUGCCGGUACCAGAUGAAUAAGCACCGGCUAACUCCGUGCCAGCAGCCGCGGUAAUACGGAGGGUGCGAGCGUUGUCCGGAUUUAUUGGGUUUAAAGGGUGCGUAGGCGGCUGAUUAAGUCAGCGGUGAAAGACUUCGGCUUAACCGGAGCAGUGCCGUUGAUACUGGUUGGCUUGAGUGUCGGAGGGGUACAUGGAAUUGAUGGUGUAGCGGUGAAAUGCAUAGAUACCAUCAGGAACACCGAUAGCGAAGGCAUUGUACUGGCCGACAACUGACGCUGAUGCACGAAAGUGUGGGGAUCGAACAGGAUUAGAAACCCCGGUAGUCC